UUUAAUUGAAGAGUUUGAUCAUGGCUCAGAUUGAACGCUGGCGGCAGGCCUAACACAUGCAAGUCGAGCGGUAGCACAGG
rnacentral:rRNA from 1 species